UUGGAGGGCAAGUCUGGUGCCAGCAGCCGCGGUAAUACCAGCUCCAAUAGCGUAUAUUAAAGUUGUUGCAGUUAAAAAGCUCGUAGUUGAACUUCGGGGUCUACCCAUUGGUCAGGCUUAAUUGUCUGUACUGGUGAGAUGGAUCUCUACCUUCUGAGGAACUUUCAUGCCAUUUAUUUGGUGUGGUUGGAAAUCAGGACUGUUACUUUGAAAAAAUUAGAGUGUUUAAAGCAGACUAUCGUCUGAAUACAUUAGCAUGGAAUAAUGAAAUAGGACGGACUGAUUCUAUUUCGUUGGUUUCUAGGAUCACCGUAAUGAUUAAUAGGGAUAGUUGGGGGCAUUAGUAUUCAAUUGUCAGAGGUGGAAUUCUUGGAUUUAUUGAAGACUAACUACUGCGAAAGCAUUUGCCUAGGAUGUUUUCAUUAAUCAAGAACGAAAGUUAGGGGAUCGAAGACGAUCAGAUACCGUCGUAGUCUUAACCAUAAACUAUGCCGACUAGGGAUCGGACGAAGUUAAUUUUAUAAUGACGCGUUCGGCACCUUACGGGAAACCAAAGUGUUUGGGWAUC
rnacentral:rRNA from 1 species